CCUACGGGAGGCUGCAGUGGGGGAUAUUGCACAAUGGGGGGAACCCUGAUGCAGCGACGCCGCGAGGGUGAAGGAGUAUUUCGGUAUGUAAAGCCCUAUCGGCAGGGAAGAAUUUAGACGGUACCUGACUAAGAAGCCCCGGCUAACUACGUGCCAGCAGCCGCGGUAAUACGUAGGGGGCAAGCGUUAUCCGGAUUCACUGGGUGUAAAGGGAGCGUAGACGGCAGCACAAGUCUGGAGUGAAAUGCCGGGGCUUAACCCCGGAACUGCUUUGGAAACUGUGCAGCUAGAGUGCAGGAGAGGUAAGUGGAAUUCCUAGUGUAGCGGUGAAAUGCGUAGAUAUUAGGAGGAACACCAGUGGCGAAGGCGGCUUACUGGACUGUAACUGACGUUGAGGCUCGAAAGCGUGGGGAGCAAACAGGAUUAGAUACCCCGGUAGUC
rnacentral:rRNA from 1 species